GGUAAACAAAGAGCGGAGAGGCGUCGGCGCGUCACGUGGUGGCGGUGUGGUGUGCAUGCGCUGUGCUUCAUCACUGAGACUUUUGACUGUCGGUUAGCUGCUUUUCCCCAGUUUGGCCAAUUUCCAUUGCUUGUUAGGCCAUAAUGAGCAACUUCCAAAGCAAUAUAUAUGAAAGUCUGAGGAAAACAUCCUUGCACCUGGUAAAGUGCAAAGAACAUCUGCCUUGGUGGUGACAAACUGGAAACACUGGGACUGUGCCUGGCCAAUUUCAUAUUUCACAGAUGAGGUGCUCGUGUGGGAACAGUGAAGGCAGGCUGCUCCAAAAGGGUGGUGAGCUGGGUGUGGAGCCGUGUGGAAACGAACGAAGCCACUAAGGAAGAACAUGUCAAGAUGAGAAAAAAUAAAUGGACAGCAGAAACUGGUGUAAUCUCAGGGCCAAAAUCUCUUACUCCAAGUUUUGAAAUGAGUAUUGGUAGAAGUUGGCUCCUUUUGAAAUCUGAGAAAUUAAAUUCAAAUCAUUUAAAUGAAAUGGGCAGUCUGUAACAUAAACUGGGAGCUUAAUACAAAUGAAACCACCAUAACGUGUUGUGUCUCAUCUAAACACAUUAUUAUUCUCAAAGGCCUCUAUAAACAUUAAUAACUGAAUGAUGUUUUAACCUCUGAUUCACAAACAGAGGAUAAAAUUAAAAAUGGAAAAGGAUUAUACUUUUUUCUAAAUUGCAUUUUACUUGUGAGUUUGAUAGGGGGACAAUUGGCCUAGCAUAAACAGUAUCAUAUUUGUCGUGGCUUUUAAAGUGCAUCCAAUUAUAUUUUGAGUGAUAAACUAAUGCUGCUAACCAGGUUAGUGCAGCCCAGCUGGGCCCUGGAAUGUUUUAGUGAACACUGCUUGCUUAAUCCAAUAAUCUCUAAUCCAUAGCGUGGGAGAAAUGUUUCCAUCAGGAAGCUGAAGUAGUAAAUGUAUCAUGUCGUUUAGAAGAUUAUAGCCAGGCCUGCCUCUGCAGUCUGGUCUCAGAAGGACACUCUGUACCAAUUAUGUCCAGCUCUCUGCUAGGCUGAGACCAAAUCUCAGGAUAUUUGCAGCAGAGUGCUGUUCUGUCACCUCGGCACUGGGGUCGGAUUAAUUCCCCUUUUGUCACGCUAGUGUUAAUAACUUCUUACUUACGUCAGUAAAUGGUAACUGUUGUCCCUUGUCUUUUGCAAUUCACAAAGCAAGACUGGAAUAAAAGUUCUGAAUCUAA